rfam:Triticum aestivum genome assembly, contig: Triticum_aestivum_CS42_TGACv1_scaffold_625346_7DS
AACAUACUCCCUCCGUCCCAAAAUAAGUGUCUCAAGUUUAAUAUAACUUUGUACUAAAGUUAGUACAAAAUUGAGACACUUAUUUUGGGACGGAGGGAGUAUAUU